AAGACUGGAUAGAAGAUUGGUCAGAUGAUGAAAAUUCAGAUCGUGGAGAUAGGUCAGAGAAUGGGAACGUAUUGGAAGAUCUUAAUGAAAACAAUGAGCAUGAUGAUGGUGAGGAAAACAACUCGGAGAUCUCGAAUGAAGAUUACAUUAGUCAGCUCAUUUCCGAAUGUCAUAAUGCGUACGACUAUUACGGUGAAUCCGACGCGGAGACAGGCCUUGAUGUCGAAUCAUUAGCGGCACCUGAUUCUGGGAGU